AAGCAGCAAUCAGGUAUUGUUGGAAGCUUAAUAAUGCAAGCUCUUCCAUUUCCAUGGAGCCAAGACAGGCUGGAUGAAGCCUGUUUUUAGCACAAAGUGGUAGAAAUUGACAAGUUCACAUAAAUUGUUGGAGGUGGUUAACGAGGUGGGUGAGAGAGAGCUUAUUUCAAAUGUGGUGCUACUCAACUCAUGUGCCUAUGCAGUGGUAAGACAGGUGAGGGACUCAUUUCAGGUGCGGUGCCGUUCUCAUCCCCAGCUAGUGGUUCCCCAGGUAAGAGCUAAUUGUAAGUGUAGUGGUUCCCAAGUGUCGGGCAUUAGCAAGGUUGGAAAGAAAGCUUAUUCUAGUUGUGGUGCUACAACAUGCCCAUGGAAGGAGUUCAAUGAUCUAUGUGUUGGAUGAACCUAUUUUGAUGGGUUGCGUAACUAUUCAACUUUACCGCUAGCAGAUAUUGUCCUAUUUGGUCUUUUA